rnacentral:rRNA from 1 species
GCAUCUGUGCAUGCAGCAUAUAAUAAGCGGAGGAAAAGAAACUAACAGGGAUUCCCCUAGUAACGGCGAGUGAAGCGGGAAGAGCUCAAAUUUGAAAUCUUAAAGGGUUUCCCUUUACGAAUUGUAGUUUAAAGAAGUGUUUUCUGUUGAGGUUUUGGUAAAAGUUCUUUGGAAUAGGACAUCAUAGAGGGUGAGAAUCCCGUAUUUGACCUUUACUUUCAACUUUGUGAUACACUUUCAAAGAGUCGGAUUGUUUGGGAAUGCAGUCCAAAAUGGGUGGUAAAUUUCAUCUAAAGCUAAAUAUUGGCGAGAGACCGAUAGCGAACAAGUACCGUGAGGGAAAGAUGAAAAGAACUUUGAAAAGAGAGUUAAACAGUACGUGAAAUUGUCAAAAGGGAAGCGUUUGACACCAGUGUUGUUUUUCUGAAAAUCAAUUAAAGAACUGUUUAUGCUAAGUUGUUUAGACUUUAUCAGCUAACUGUUUAGUUUUGAGCUUUUCUUUAAUGCACUUUUCAGUUAACAAGUCAACAUCAAUUUCUUUUGCUGUAAAAAAGCUUGAGGAAGGUGGCUUGAGAUUCGUCUUAAGUGUUUAUAGCCUCUUGCCUAUGCAGUCGGAGAGAUUGAGGUCUGCAGCGUAGAUCCUUCGGGGCUAAAUGCAUUUGUGCUAAGUUAUAGCAUUUUAUAGACAACUUGUUGACUAUGAUUUGUCUUGUAGCUUACUCGCUUAUGUUAUUUUACCUACGCUUAGGAUGUUGAAGAUGUAGCACAUCAU